AAGGCCUGCAGAGAAUACAAGAAGCGUCACAGAAAGCGGCUCAGGAGAGGCAUAGGACAUAAGUGCAGAACCAUUCCUUUGGAAAAGCAGAGCAGAAAACCCACCCCCCAACCUUUCAAAAGCAAGGAGGGAGUUUUAGGAAAGGAAUUCCAUGUUAAAGUUUGCUCAAGUACCUCCUGACGAUCUCGGUUUGGGCACUUAGCGUUUGGCUGAUUUUUAUCCCCCUUUGUGUGGUUAAUAUUUUACACCUAGCACUUUCCAACCAGAAUUCCCCAGAGUGCUUUGCAGACCAGAAGUGCUUCCUUCAGCCCUGAAAAGCAGGUCCUUCUGGGUUGGAAGGCAGCAGCUGUUUAACAGCACACAUGACAAUUUGGGGCAGAAAGUGCAGCAGCGUAGGCAUCCAAUCAAAAUGGGAGGGGAAACUGUACUGGGAAAAAUGUAAUUUCUCACGCCGGAAUCUGGUCAGAGAGCAUGAGGGACUGGGCCCUGUUAAGCAUGUGUCAAAGUCUCAUCUGAAAUAUGACACCCCCAGCGGCACAGCCGCCCUUUGCACCAAGCUGGAGCACAGCAUCUGACUCAGCGGCUGACUCAGAGAAAAGUGCCAUUUGUUGCUGAAUCACCAAGCUGCGAGUACAUUAUCAGAUAACCGGAAUACAUGCAAAGGAGCAGAGGGUGUAUAAUUGUAUGUACUAGGCGCUCAUUUCUUCUCUAUGUAAUGUAUACUCCAGCUGAUUAUAAAUUCGACCAGGAGCCUUCAGAGACCGGCUAGAAACAUUUGCAACUGACAAAAGUUCCCACUGGAAUAGACACAGGAAACCGUUGUGACAACAUCAAACUGACCUAUUGCAUCUCCAGCACCAGGCUCUAUCUUGAGCUGGACAGGCUGCGGGUGUGCCGGGCUGCUGCUGUUCUUCACAGCGUCUGUGCUCGUUACAGAGGUAGUUUCUUUCCGAGAAACUUUAGACGACGGAGGCUCCUCCACUGUUAUCCCACUUUGCCGCUGUCGUCGGCGUUUCUUGCUCCACAGCUCAUGGCAAUCCUGCCAGUGAGGGAGGCUGGAAGAGGACAAGACUUGGUGAGAGAAGAAACAUAGGAAAAGCGACGAGAAGUCCUGAGUUACCCUUGCAUGGGCUGGUGAAGUUCUCAGUAACACAAAGGGAUCACUGAGACAUUGUUCUGAUGGCAGCAACAUUACGAAACAAGGAGGGGUUUGUGUCCUACAGUGAUGAGGGAGACAUUACUGUGCUCACACCGCUUAAACUGUACAGGGAUCUUAAUUAAGUCAGGGCUAGAUUAGCUUUGAUGCAUGUAGCUCCGUUAGGACUCAAUAAAAGGGUAACUGGGUGAAAUUCUAUGGCUUGGGACAGACAGAAGACUCAGAUCAGAUGAUCUAAUAUAGGGGUUCUCAAACUUUAUUGCACCGUGAUCCCCUUCUGACAACAAAUAUUACUACAUGACUCCAGGAAGGGGGUCCGAAGCCUACACCCACCCAAGCCCCACUGCCCCAAAGGGGCGGGGGGGCGCGCAUCAAAGCCAAAGCCAAAGCCUGGGCGGUGGGGCUUCCACUUCAACCCUGGGCAGUAGGCGGUCAGACUUUGGCCCCGUGUGGUGGGAUUCGGGCUUUGGCCCUGGGCCCCAGCAAGUCUAACGCCAGCCCUGGUAACCCCAUUAAAAAGGGGUUCACGACCCACAGUUUGAGAACCGCUGAUCUAAUGGUCCUGUAAGGAUAAGGCCUUUUCCUGUAGCCAUAUUAUAAGACCUAAGGUCUUUGUCUGCAGCCAUAUUAAGAGCAGCAGCCAUUAGCUUAGAAGCAGGAAGUCAUGCUCACAUUCCAUCUGAAUUACAUUAAAACAAUGUCAUAUCAGGCUGUUAGGAAGGAACCCUGUCCUAAUGGCACCUACUAUAACCAGAUAAACAGAUUUUAAGAUGGUUAAAGAAAACUUAGUUUGACCGCAUCCUGUCGGUCAAGAAAUCACUUAUCAAUAGUUGUGAAAUCCUCAUUUCUUUAUUGUUUUGUCAUUAUGGUCCCCACUUCUCUAUUGUUUGUCUGUAUGAUCUCCGUCUUGUUCAUUGAUUGUUUCUGUCUGUUACAUAAUUAAUUUUACUAGGUGUAAAUUAAUUAAGGUGGCGGGAUGAUUAGGUUAGAGAAUUUUGUUACAGUAUGUUAGGUUUGGUUAGUAAAAUUUUAGUAAAAUGAUUGGUUAAGGCACAGCUAAGCAGGACUCAAGUUUCACUAUAUAAACUGGGGUCCAAAAGAAAGUUCUUUGGGAAUCAACUCCAGGACACAGCCCCAAGAUCAGAGCUCAACACUCUGCCAACCACACCGUGCAGAAGCUGGAGUCCUCCAGAUGACCUGAUCCUGUCUGGCCAUCAAGAAAAGUUAAUCUGUCUUAUUGGGAGUGAUGAGCAUUGUAUGUGUAGCGUGUGCAUUCUGUUUUGGUGACUGUUAAUAAAUAGAGGGUAAGUAG